rnacentral:lncRNA from 1 species
GCGGACGCCCCAACCCCGUGGCCCCCUCGAACCCCACGUGCUUCCUAAAAACACUUAGAACCGUUCCAAUACCUUUAGUACCACGCUCGGCUCAGGCCCAUCCUCAGCUCAGAGCGCGGUAGCACUGUCCUCCCGCCCAGGAGGUUUAAGGCCUGGCUAAACUCCGCCCCCCACCGCCCUGGCCAAUCAGGAGCCACGUCCUCCGGCGCGCUCCUUCCCCGCCCCGCCUCCCGUCUCCAUGGGAACGAUCUGAGCGUCUACUCCGCGUCCUGGGGCGUCGGUUUCGGUCCCGCCCGGCUGCGGCCGUUGUUUGCUGGGACAGUCCUUGGGCCGGUCUCCGUCCCUGUCCAGAGGCUCCGUACGUGAGGCGGACUCUCGGGAGCACCGAGCCGGGCGCGGAUAAGGGCGAGGACAGCUGUUGCAGGAACGGGGGCAGAAAAGGAGGACCAGGGGCCGAGAAGCCGCUCUGGCUACGAAAUCUCAGACACCGUUGUAAAUGGGUGCUUCACAGCCGCCCGCCCCACGUUAAAACUGAAGAAGAGGUGCAAGGAGGCGGAAGCAGCUUGGGCCUCGGGACCGAGGGCAUUUGCAGUUCACACCCAGUUAGUACGUGAGGACUGCAGUGAGUGUGGAAAUUUCAAGUCUCGCCCAGUCUUCUAUUCUUCCCCCCCAGCUCAGCCUUCUCGACCCUCCACCCUUCCCCAAAAAAGGAGCACAAAGGAGCAAGCAGGGGUCACGCCUUUCCUCACAGUCUGACCCGGGUGAGUAGGGGUCUUGUCUCAUCUCCCUCGACUUCUCCAUGGACUGUGGGAGUAGCUGAAGUGGCUGUGGGGACGGAGGGAGCAGACUGAAUAGAAACCGUUCCUCAUGUGCCUGAGAAGCUUUCGAGCCUCCUCUUCAGCAGGCCCUGCCUCCUGCCCAGGGCCCUUUCUAACAUUUUUCCCACUUACUCAGCCACUUAGGUCUGCUAUAUAGUCCAUACUGCUCUUGGUGACCAGAGAUAAAUAAGCAUGAGAACGUCUUUCCUGGAAGCUGCUGUGUGACACAGCAGGUGAAAGAUCUGACAUCGCCACAGGUGUGGCACCUGCAGCUCCGGUUCCAUCCCUGGCCCAGGAACGUCCACAUGCUGUGGACGUGGCCAAAGGAAAGAAGGCCUUUCCUUCGCCUCGGGGAAAUCAACCACAUGAGGUUAAUAAGAAUUUCUAAAAUUAUCACACAUUAAACAGUUCCAAAAUUAAGUGUCACUUUUAAGCAAAAGGCAGGAACAGGCAUUCAGAUUUGAGUAAAACCAUUGUGAACUGGCGGAUGUCAUUCCCGACAGGAAGCCCAUCAUUUAGUCGCAGGCAGAACAUGAGGAACAAACGAGGAAACCAGGCUAGUUGCAGGAGAGACUAAGUGUGAAUGGGUGAGGAAAGGCCGCGUUGCGGAGGCUCUGGUUUCUUACUCUGUGUACCACUCAGAUUCCGGGGCACACCAACCAGAGGCAGGCAUUGCUGACAUCCAGAUGGAUUUACUUCGUCUUUUAUCUAAUAAUAUACAUACGUACUCACUAAUCCAUACAAAUACUAGCAUGUAUGCACACCAGUACACAUAUGUACAAAUAUGCACAUUUAC